GAUGAACGCUGGCGGCGUGCUUUAACACAUGCAAGUCGAGGGGCAGCGAGGGAGUGCUUGCACUUCUGUCCGGCGACCGGCGCACGGGUGAGUAACACGUAUGCAACCUGCCCUUGUCAGGGGGAUAAGCGAGGGAAACCUCGUCUAAUACCGCAUAUAUGAUUUAGAGGCAUCUUUUAAUCAGGAAAGAAUUAUCGGACAAGGAUGGGCAUGCGGGACAUUAGGUAGUUGGGGGUGUAACGGACCACCAAGCCGACGAUGUCUAGGGGUUCUGAGAGGAAGGUCCCCCACACUGGUACUGAGACACGGACCAGACUCCUACGGGAGGCAGCAGUGAGGAAUAUUGGUCAAUGGGCGAGAGCCUGAACCAGCCAAGUCGCGUGAGGGAAGACGGUACUAAGUAUUGUAAACCUCUUUUGUCAGGGAACAAAGAGACCACGUGUGGUAAGAUGAGUGUACCUGAAGAAAAGGCAUCGGCUAACUCCGUG
rnacentral:rRNA from 1 species